rnacentral:rRNA from 2 species
UACGGAGGGUGCAAGCGUUAUCCGGAUUCACUGGGUUUAAAGGGUGCGUAGGUGGGCGAGUAAGUCAGUGGUGAAAUCUCCGGGCUUAACCCGGAAACUGCCAUUGAUACUAUUUGUCUUGAAUGUCGUGGAGGUAAGCGGAAUAUGUCAUGUAGCGGUGAAAUGCUUAGAUAUGACAUAGAACACCGAUAGCGUAGGCAGCUUACUACACGAAUAUUGACACUGAGGCACGAAAGCGUGGGGAUCAAACAGG